rnacentral:lncRNA from 1 species
GAAUUAACAGUUCAAGUUUGUUUAGACUGUACAAGUCUCCCAUGUGCCUGGUGACAGGACGAGGGGGAAUGGGCUAAAGUUACGCCAGGGGAGUUUUAGGUUAGAUGUUAGGAAGAAUUUCUUUACUGAAAGGGUUGUUAGGCACUGGAACGGGCUGCCCAGGGAGGAAAUUUAAUUGUGGAAGCUACCUCAUUGUGUUUCAUGUCUAAAUACUCUCACCCAAAUCAACUGGUUGUGCAGAGGGUUUGCAGGAUCAGGUCCUCAAAAGAUAAUUGUUUCCAAUCUCUUAUUUCGGCUUGAUGUAUUACUGAUAUUCUUAUAAAAUAUGGCUGAAUGUGGCUGUUAGGAUAGUCUAAAACGUAAUUCCAGACCAGGAUAUUAAACUUCAAUUCAACCUCCUUCUUUCAUUACUGAAAAUACAAGUUUCAUUCUUAAAUAAAGCCACAUUUCCAAUGCAGGACACAAAGGUUUACAUAGUAGUAAGUUUACAGAGUAAUUUGUGACUGAGAGUUAGCAAAAGCUUCAACAAGUAUUUUGAAAUCAGAAGGUCAUUAUUGUUUUACAAGACAUCAAAAUGGGAAGAUUUUUUUUUUUAAAUAAGGUUUUGAUACUGCCCACAAAUAUUUCUUCUCUGUGUUUGUAAUUUGAGUUUCAUUAGUUCUUGGAGAAGUGGUUUCCCUCUCUCCCUAAACUCAGUUUUCAUCUCUGAUAUUUUAGACAAGUAAAAAACAGAAGAUAAACUAGAUUUAUCUUUCAUAUUAGUAAUUUUUCUUAAUUAAAAAUUACUGGAAGCACAGGGAAACAGCAAUGACAGACAGUGAUGUUUCAAAGCACAUGACAGCAUUUCUCUUCUAAUUAUCAUUGCAAUAGCUUUUUCGUGUUUGCAGAAUUUUCCUUCUGAGGAGACAAAGGACUGCUGGAACUGUUCUUAAAUCACAUCUACAAUUAAAAAAAAUUUCCAAAUACUGUAUGGAAGAAACACACUUUUUUUUUUUUUUUUUUUGAGGUGAAUCUGUCUAAUCUUUUGUAACAGUUUUGUUAUCCAAAGGGUAGUGAAAAGCCAUUGCUAUCUAGUCUUGAAUUUGUUUCAUUCCUUAAUAACAACUGAGACAGUCUGUAAAAAAAGUAAUCUAGUUUAACACUGUAAAGCUAAUUGUUGAAAAAAAUGGUCCUUUUAAGAAUACAAUGGUCAAAAGUUUGAAAAGUACAAAAUACCCCACUGUACUAAAAUGUAGUUGGUAGUUUAGGAAAGAUCAAGACAACCUUCUCUACACGUGCCAGCUAUUCCAUGUUUGAUCCAGGGGUGACAGUCCCAUAAAAGUAUUCAGUCUUCAGGUCAGAUCCAAGGAAUAUAUGACAUAAAUAAGGACUGCAAAAUUUAACUUUAUGGAAGAAAU